GAUGAACGCUGGCGGCGUGCCUAAUACAUGCAAGUCGAGCGAACAGACGAGGAGCUUGCUCCUCUGACGUUAGCGGCGGACGGGUGAGUAACACGUGGAUAACCUACCUAUAAGACUGGGAUAACUUCGGGAAACCGGAGCUAAUACCGGAUAAUAUAUUGAACCGCAUGGUUCAAUAGUGAAAGACGGUUUUGCUGUCACUUAUAGAUGGAUCCGCGCCGCAUUAGCUAGUUGGUAAGGUAACGGCUUACCAAGGCAACGAUGCGUAGCCGACCUGAGAGGGUGAUAGGCCACACUGGAACUGAGACACGGUCCAGACUCCUGAGGGAGGCAGCAGUAGGGAAUCGUCCGCAAUGGGCGAAAGCCUGACGGAGCAACGCCGCGUGAGUGAUGAAGGUCUUCGGAUCGUAAAACUCUGUUAUUAGGGAAGAACAAAUGUGUAAGUAACUAUGCACGUCUUGACGGUACCUAAUCAGAAAGCCACGGCUAACUACGUG
rnacentral:rRNA from 1 species